AAUUCUCAACUUCAAUAGUUUAUUAAUGAACUUGUUGAAGCUUGGAGGUGGAGGUUUUGCUGGCGUCUUUAGAUGCUCGGCUCCUCUUAAAUGCAUUAGUGGAACCCGUUUGUUGGGCCAUCCUUGGUGUGAUAAUUAUCUACGCUUUGGUUAGUUUAAUGAACUCUAUUGAGUCAGUUUUAUAACUGGAUUUGGUUUUGCAUUAAGUUGCUUUACCUGGCCUCAUUAGAGUAGGGACUUAUCUGCUCUCUAACCGUCUGUGUAUGCGGACAAUGUACUUGAUC
rnacentral:misc_RNA from 1 species